rnacentral:rRNA from 1 species
AACGAACGCUGGCGGCAUGCCUAACACAUGCAAGUCGAACGAAGCCUUCGGGCUUAGUGGCGCACGGGUGCGUAACGCGUGGGAAUCUGCCCUUGGGUUCGGAAUAACAGUUAGAAAUGACUGCUAAUACCGGAUGAUGUCUUCGGACCAAAGAUUUAUCGCUCGAGGAUGAGCCCGCGUAGGAUUAGGUAGUUGGUGGGGUAAUGGCCCACCAAGCCGACGAUCCUUAGCUGGUCUGAGAGGAUGAUCAGCCACACUGGGACUGAGACACGGCCCAGACUCCUACGGGAGGCAGCAGUGGGGAAUAUUGGACAAUGGGCGAAAGCCUGAUCCAGCAAUGCCGCGUGAGUGAUGAAGGCCUUAGGGUUGUAAAGCUCUUUUACCAGGGAUGAUAAUGACAGUACCUGGAGAGUAAGCUCCGGCUAACUCCGUGCCAGCCGCCGCAGUAACAC